AUUGAACGCUGGCGGCAGGCCUAACACAUGCAAGUCGAGCGAGCGGCGGACGGGUGAGUACUGUAUGGGGACUGGCCGAUAGAGGGGGAUCACUACUGGAAACGGUGGCUAAUACCGCAUACUGUAGGAUAACACAUAUGUGAUUAGCGAGUAGUUAAGGUAAUGUCUUACCUAGGCGACGAUCCAUAGCUGGUCUGAGAGGAUGAUCAGCCACACUGGGACUGUGACACGGCCCAGACUCCUACGGAGGCAGCAGUGGGGAAUAUUGCACAAUGGGCGCAAGCCUGAUGCAGCCAUGCCGCGUGUAUGAAGAAGGCCCUAGGGUUGUAAAGUACUUUCAGUCGGGAGGCGUUACCGACAGAAGAAGCACCGGCUAACUCCGUGCCAGCAGCCGCGGUAAUUC
rnacentral:rRNA from 1 species